rnacentral:rRNA from 1 species
UUCUGGCUCAGGAUGAACGCUAGCGGCAGGCUUAACACAUGCAAGUCAGGGGCAGCGCGAGUAGCAAUACUUGGCGGCGACCGGCGCAAGGGUGCGUAACGCGUGAGCAACAUGCCCGUAUCAGGGGGAUAAUCCAGGGAAACUUGGUCUAAUACCCCAUAGUAAUUUUUGUAAGGCAUCUUAUAAGAUUUAAAGCUUUGGUGGAUACGGAUUGGCUCGCGUGACAUUAGCUGGAUGGUAAGGUAACGGCUUACCAUGGCUAUGAUGUCUAGGGGUUCUGAGAGGAAGGUCCCCCCACACUGGAACUGAGACACGGUCCAGACUCCUACGGGAGGCAGCAGUGAGGAAUAUUGGACAAUGGAUGGAAAUCUGAUCCAGCCAUGCCGCGUGAAGGAAGAAAGGUCCUAUGGAUUGUAAACUUCUUUUGUAUGGGAGCAAUAAGGCCUACGAGUAGGUUGAUGAGAGUACCAUACGAAUAAGCACCGGCUAACUCCGUGCCAGCAGCUGC